UUUGUGAAUCAUUUGUGAAUGAAUCCAACAUCAGACUCGUUCAGCCAGUUGGGCUGAACAAGCCUACCUAUCGGGAACAGACACGCUUUGCUUCCUGAGACCUCUCUCACUCUGCUGUGGGACCUCCUCGCAGAUAGAAGCGCCGCCUGAUUCCAGUGCAGACACUUUGGCUGAGGACUUGAGAGGUAAGGUUGCAUGAUCCAGAGCUCAGCUCCACACCUGGUCUUCUGUGGGAGAUCCUCACGUGCGUACUUCCCAGGACACUGUACUGGAAAUUAAGUCAGGGACCUGCUGGUGGAAAGAAGACGUGCCAAGGAGAGCAGCAUUUCUCUGUUUUCUGGAUUUUGUCUGAAUGAGGUGGUCUGCAGAUUGGGAGGAGCUCUACUCAUUGGAACCUUUCCCUGCAAGACAGAGCAAUUCACAACCUGCAACAUGCCCUCCAUGUUUGAGAAAACUGCCAGGAAACUGGUCAAAGAGAUUGGAGACAAAGAACUCAGGCCCGUCAAAGACGUCCUGAAUGCCAUCAAAAUAUGUCGGUUUUCUCUAAUACGGAGGAAGAAGGCUCGCUCAAUGUUUUGGCAUCUCCCUGAGGUUCCAGUUGACAUCUCCCUCAUGGACAUCCUCGAACCAAAUAGCGUGGUCCCAGAUGCUGCUGUGGAAGUGUCAGCCCUCUUCAGUUAUGGUAUUCAAUGGAAGCAGCACAUGGGUGGGAGUGUGAAUGCUGGGGCAGAAGCAAGUGUCUGGGAGGAGACUACAGGGUGCCAAGGAUCCUCCCUGGAUUAUAAGAUUGUUAGCACCCCAUAUGAAACCUGGACAGAACUUCAGAAGAGGUGAGGCCACGGGAGGGGGAGGGUCUGGUCAACAGCC